rnacentral:rRNA from 1 species
AUGAACGCUGGCGGCGUGCCUAAUACAUGCAAGUCGAGCGAACAGAUAAGGAGCUUGCUCCUUUGACGUUAGCGGCGGACGGGUGAGUAACACGUGGGUAACCUACCUAUAAGACUGGGAUAACUUCGGGAAACCGGAGCUAAUACCGGAUAACAUCUGGAACCGCAUGGUUCUAAAGUGAAAGAUGGUUUUGCUAUCACUUAUAGAUGGACCCGCGCCGUAUUAGCUAGUUGGUAAGGUAACGGCUUACCAAGGCGACGAUACGUAGCCGACCUGAGAGGGUGAUCGGCCACACUGGAACUGAGACACGGUCCAGACUCCUACGGGAGGCAGCAGUAGGGAAUCUUCCGCAAUGGGCGAAAGCCUGACGGAGCAACGCCGCGUGAGUGAUGAAGGGUUUCGGCUCGUAAAACUCUGUUAUUAGGGAAGAACAAAUGUGUAAGUAACUGUGCACGUCUUGACGGUACCUAAUCAGAAAGCCACGGCUAACUACGUG